UACGUAGGGUGCGAGCGUUAAUCGGAAUUACUGGGCGUAAAGCGUGCGCAGGCGGUUUUGUAAGCCAGAUGUGAAAUCCCCGGGCUCAACCUGGGAAUGGCAUUUGGGACUGCAAGGCUGGAGUUUGGCAGAGGAGACUGGAAUUCCCGGUGUAGCAGUGGAAUGCGUAGAUAUCGGGAGGAAUACCGAUGGCGAAGGCAGGUCUCUGGGCUAUAACUGACGCUCAUGCACGAAAGCGUGGGGAGCAAACAGG
rnacentral:rRNA from 1 species